rnacentral:lncRNA from 1 species
UAUGGUUGGUUAACUUGCAUUUUUGCUGUAUUUUGUAAGACUAUUAUGAAUUAUUACUAUGAUUGCUUGGUUUUUUAAAAGAAUGUUCCUUCUUCAACUCGGCUGUAGCAACUGCUGUCAGGGGAUAUUGUCUCCUAACUGCAGUCAAAAACUUCAAUUUGAUAGUUUUUGACUGCUUUUUUUUUUUUUGUUUUGUGGAAUAAUCCUUUGCAAAUUUUGUUUCAGGUCACUGAAUGCCACUUGGUCACAGAUGUUUUGUGGAAUAAUCCUUUGCAAAUUUCAAUUUGAUAGUUUUUGACUGCUUUUUUUUUUUUUGUUUUGUGGAAUAAUCCUUUGCAAAUUUUGUUUCAGGUCACUGAAUGCCACUUGGUCACAGAUCCUCGCACCAGAGAAUCCCGUGGUUUUGCAUUUGUUACUAUGGAAACUGUUGAGGGUGCUGA